rnacentral:rRNA from 1 species
AUUGAACGCUGGCGGCAGGCUUAACACAUGCAAGUCGAGCGAGCGGAGGACGGGUGAGUAAGGUCUGGGAAACUGCCUGAUGGAGGGGGAUCACUACUGGAAAAGGUAGCUAAUACCGCAUACCAUCAGAUGUGCCCACAUUGGCAUAGCUAGUAGUUGGGGUAAUGGCUCACCUAGGCGACGAGCCCUAGCUGGUCUGAGAGGAUGACCAGCCAAACUGGAACGUAGACACGGUCCAUACUCCUACGGGAGGCAGCAUUGGGGAAUAUUGCACAAUGGGCGCAAGCCUGAUGCAGCCAUGCCGCGUGUGUGAAGAAGGCCUUCGGGUGGUAAAGCACUUUCAGCGAGGAGGCGUUACUCGCAGAAGAAGCACCGGCUAACUCCGUGCCAGCAGCCGCGGUAAUUC